rnacentral:rRNA from 1 species
GGGUCUGUCCAUGGGUCGGGCUUUACGGUCCGUACUGGUGAGAUGGGUUCCUACCUUCUGAAUAACCGGCAUGCCAUUCAGUUGGUGCGCCGGGGAAGCAGAGCUAUUACCUUGAAAAAAUUAGAGUGCUUAAAGCAGGCUAUUGCUUGAAUAGAUUAGCAUGGAAUAAUAAAAUAGGACGGCAUGGUUCUAUUUUGUUGGUUUCUAGGAUCACCGUA